ACGGGAGCUUUGAGAAAAUUAGUUGUGUUGAUAUACGUGGAUGACUUAAUAAUCACAGGUGAUAAUGUUGCAGAAAUCUCCACACUCAAACAGUCACUUCAACAAAGAUUUGCUGUUAAAGAUCUUGGGGUGUUGAAGUAUUUUCUUGGAAUCGAAAUGGCAUCUUCACACAAGGGACUAUUUCUUAAUCAACGAAAAUACAUCAUGGACCUACUCAAGGAAGCUAAUAUGAGUGAGGCUAAGCCUGCACUUACCCCUCUCGAUAGCAAGCUCAAACUUGACUUGGGAGACACGCCACUCUCGGAUAUAAGCUUCUAUCAGAGGCUUGUCAGCAAGCUGAUCUACCUAACAAUCACCAGACCGGACAUCUCAUAUUCAGUAAGUAUCGCCAGUCAGUUCAUGCACUCCCCCACCAUCGAGCAUCUAAACCUUGUAAAAAGGAUCUUACGUUACUUAAAAGGGUCCGUUGGUCGUGGCAUCCUCAUGGCGAAGAAUGACAACACUCAAAUAAUGGGGUACUGCGAUGCAGAUUGGGCAGGAAACGCCAUCGAUCGCAAGUCCACCACUGGUUACUGUACCUUUGUUGGUGGAAAUUUGGUCACGUGGAAGAGCAAAAAACAAACUGUCAUCGCAAGAUCAAGUGCCGAAGCUGAAUAUCGUGCAAUGGCCUCAACCGCGUGUGAGCUGAUAUGGCUAAAAGAACUUUUAUGUGACUUAGGUGUGUUCACGGCUCAAUCAAUGACCUUAUUGUGUGACAACCAGGCUGCCAUGCACAUAGCAUCAAACCCUGUCUUUCACGAGAUGACGAAGCAUAUUGAAGUCGACUGCCACUAUGUCCGUGAACAAGUACAGUCGCAGGUGAUCCAGACGCAUUAUGUAAAAAGCUCCGAUCAACUGGUUGAUAUAUUCACCAAACCUAUGGCUUCUCAUCAGUUUCAAAGGCUCCUCUCCAAGCUUGGAUCCAUCAACCUUCUGGAUCCAGCUUGAGGGGGAGUAUUGGAAGGUAGGGUUCAAUGUUGGAAGAAUAAUGCAAGUGGAAAUAAUGCAGGUGGAAGUAGGGUUCAAUGUUGGAAGAAUAAUGCAACCCUUUGUUUAAGUUUUUGAUGGAUAACAGCUCAGCUUAGUGCUAGUGUUAGCUGGUUGUUAUUCAUCAUCAUUGUAAAGCUAAUUAGUAGUUUAAGUUAGUGAGAGUGGAGGCCACAAUGAUGCUUGCUUAGCUGCCAUUAUUCUCCACCUUUUGUAUCUCCACUCUCCUUCCCGUUUCUUAUCCUAUAUAUGUUGGAUCUUGAACCAUGAAAUAUACAUAAAACAUUCAAUAAUAUUGAAUUGUUUACAUUGUACUGAAUAUUUUGUUUUUUAAAUAUCAGGUUUGGGUGCCCCUCUCAAUGUAGCAACACGAAAAAUUAUCUUCAAUCGCUAUUUAUUGGCAUCACUGCUACUAAAGUUACAAGAAUUUCUGGGGCACCACGUAGUAUGGGGGUGAAGUCAAUGGACUUGAAUCCCAAGAGAUUUGAUAAAGUUGAAAGAUUUGACGGCAAAGUUACUAACAAGGCAAGGACUGAGCCAUGGUGAGACACAAGCUUUCGGCACACCCUGCAGACUGGUGUUUGAAAACCCGCAGCACCGUGCGGGCACUCUUGCUAGUGGACACUAAAAGGGGGUCAAUAUUUGUAUAACAAGACUCUCAUAUUGGUAAAGAGCAUUGAUCUUUCAUCGAAUGUGUUAGAAGGUGAGAUUCCUGAAGAGAUAUGUAGCCUUGUUUUAUUGGGUACGUUGAACUUGUUCAUGAAUCAAUUGAUCAGAAAGAUACCCUCCAAGAUCGGAAAAAUGCAUUUGAUCGAAACUCUUGAUCUCUCCCACAAUCACCUUUCGGGACAGAUGCCUCAAAGCUUGUCAUCUUUAAACUUUUUAAGCCACUUGAACUUGUCUUACAACAACUUGUCCGGAAGAAUUCUUUCAGGAAACCAACUUCAAACGUUGAAUGAUUUAUCCAUUUACAUGAAUAAUCCAUUGCUAUGUGGCGUUCCUCUUUCAACUCAGUGCCCUGGAGAUGACUUGAAGGUUGCAAAGGACAAGAAUGAAGAUGGAAAUGAUAAGUUGUGGUUCUAUGUCAGCGUGGUACUUGGCUUUAUCGUAGGCUUUUGGGGUGUUUACGGUACAUUGGUCUUAAAAACACCGUGGAGGUAUGCCUAUUUUCGAUUCUUUGAUGACAUCAAAGAUAAGGUGAUGGGGUAGCAAUUUCUUGUAUCUUUGUUGACUUUGUUUCUAGAAGGGUAAGGUAUAUGUCCCCCCUUGUUUUCAUGUAUUUUUUAUCCUUUUUUCUUGUAUUAUAAGGGGUUAAGUUUAUAUCCUCCAUGACUAGGUGUACCUUAUAUAUAUAUAUUAAUAAAAAUUC